AGAGUUUGAUCAUGGCUCAGGACGAACGCUGACGGCGUACUUUAGAACAUGCAAGUCGAACGAGAACACCCUUCGGGGCUAGUAAAGUGGCGAACGGGUGAGUAACACGUGGGCAACCUGCCCCUCGCAGGGGGACAACCGGAGGAAACUCCGGCUAAUACCCCGUAAGCUCUCGGAGUCGAGUGACUCCGGGAGGAAAGGUAGCUUCGGCCAUCCGGCGAGGGAUGGGCCCGCGGUACAUUAGCUAGUUGGUGGGGUAACGGCCCACCAAGGCGACGAUGUAUAGCUGGUCUGAGAGGAUGAUCAGCCACACUGGGACUGAGACACGGCCCAGACUCCUACGGGAGGCAGCAGUCGGGAAUCUUGCGCAAUGGGCGAAAGCCUGACGCAGCAACGCCGUGUGGGUGAGGAAGGCCUUAGGGUCGUAAAGCUCUGUUGUUGGGGACGAAGGGCGAAGGGUUAAUAGCCCCUAGCUUGACGGUACCCUUCGAGGAAGCCCCGGCUAACUACGUGCCAGCAGCCGCGGUAAUACGUAGGGGGCGAGCGUUGUCCGGAAUUAUUGGGCGUAAAGAGCGUGUAGGCGGAUAUGGUAAGUCUGCCGUGAAAACCCAGGGACUCAACCCUGGGCGUGACGGUGGAAAGCUGCCAGGCUAGAGGAUGGUANAAGGCCAGUGGAAUNCCCGGNUGUAGCGGUGAAAUGCGCAGAUAUCGGNAAGGAACACCAGUACGCNCAAUG
rnacentral:rRNA from 1 species